UUCUCUCAACUUUUCUCCAUUUUUCUGCAUAAACAUUGCAUUGAUCUUCAUCAAUCCUUCAUCCAUGAGUAUUUUGGAGUGGAAUUGAAGCAAGUCCUCAUCAUUUUCGUGUCAAUUCAAGGACUGUUACAAGUGUGUUCAACAAUGGCAAAUGGAGAUUUGAGCUAGAUCCUUCACAAUCAACACUCAAACCUUGCUCCAUUCA
rnacentral:lncRNA from 1 species